rnacentral:tRNA from 1 species
GCCUGACUGGCUCAAUAGGAAGAACAUGUGACUCCUGAUUUCAGGUUUAUGAGUUCGAGCCCCAUGUUGGGUA